rnacentral:rRNA from 1 species
AGAUUGAACGCUGGCGGCAGGCUUAACACAUGCAAGUCGAGCGGGGAAAGGUAGCUUGCUACCUGACCUAGCGGCGGACGGGUGAGUAAUGCUUAGGAAUCUGCCUAUUAGUGGGGGACAACAUUCCGAAAGGAAUGCUAAUACCGCAUACGCCCUACGGGGGAAAGCAGGGGAUCUUCGGACCUUGCGCUAAUAGAUGAGCCUAAGUCAGAUUAGCUAGUUGGUGGGGUAAAGGCCUACCAAGGCGACGAUCUGUAGCGGGUCUGAGAGGAUGAUCCGCCACACUGGGACUGAGACACGGCCCAGACUCCUACGGGAGGCAGCAGUGGGGAAUAUUGGACAAUGGGCGAAAGCCUGAUCCAGCCAUGCCGCGUGUGUGAAGAAGGCCUUUUGGUUGUAAAGCACUUUAAGCGAGGAGGAGGCUACUGAGAUUAAUACUCUUGGAUAGUGGACGUUACUCGCAGAAUAAGCACCGGCUAACUCUGUGCCAGCAGCCGCGGUAAUACAGAGGGUGCGAGCGUUAAUCGGAUUUACUGGGCGUAAAGCGUGCGUAGGCGGCUUUUUAAGUCGGAUGUGAAAUCCCUGAGCUUAACUUAGGAAUUGCAUUCGAUACUGGGAAGCUAGAGUAUGGGAGAGGAUGGUAGAAUUCCAGGUGUAGCGGUGAAAUGCGUAGAGAUCUGGAGGAAUACCGAUGGCGAAGGCAGCCAUCUGGCCUAAUACUGACGCUGAGGUACGAAAGCAUGGGGAGCAAACAGGAUUAGAUACCCUGGUAGUCCAUGCCGUAAACGAUGUCUACUAGCCGUUGGGGCCUUUGAGGCUUUAGUGGCGCAGCUAACGCGAUAAGUAGACCGCCUGGGGAGUACGGUCG